rnacentral:rRNA from 1 species
GCGGCGGCGGCUACACAUGCAGUCGAACGGUAACAGGAAGCAGCUUGCUGCUUUGCUGACGAGUGGCGGACGGGUGAGUAAUGUCUGGGAAACUGCCUGAUGGAGGGGGAUAACUACUGGAAACGGUAGCUAAUACCGCAUAACGUCGCAAGACCAAAGAGGGGGACCUUCGGGCCUCUUGCCAUCAGAUGUGCCCAGAUGGGAUUAGCUAGUAGGUGGGGUAACGGCUCACCUAGGCGACGAUCCCUAGCUGGUCUGAGAGGAUGACCAGCCACACUGGAACUGAGACACGGUCCAGACUCCUACGGGAGGCAGCAGUGGGGAAUAUUGCACAAUGGGCGCAAGCCUGAUGCAGCCAUGCCGCGUGUAUGAAGAAGGCCUUCGGGUUGUAAAGUACUUUCAGCGGGGAGGAAGGCGAUGCGGUUAAUAACCGCGUCGAUUGACGUUACCCGCAGAAGAAGCACCGGCUAACUCCGUGCCAGCAGCCGCGGUAAUACGGAGGGUGCAAGCGUUAAUCGGAAUUACUGGGCGUAAAGCGCACGCAGGCGGUCUGUCAAGUCGGAUGUGAAAUCCCCGGGCUCAACCUGGGAACUGCAUCCGAAACUGGCAGGCUUGAGUCUCGUAGAGGGGGGUAGAAUUCCAGGUGUAGCGGUGAAAUGCGUAGAGAUCUGGAGGAAUACCGGUGGCGAAGGCGGCCCCCUGGACGAAGACUGACGCUCAGGUGCGAAAGCGUGGGGAGCAAACAGGAUUAGAUACCCUGGUAGUCCACGCCGUAAACGAUGUCGACUUGGAGGUUGUGCCCUUGAGGCGUGGCUUCCGGAGCUAACGCGUUAAGUCGACCGCCUGGGGAGUACGGCCGCAAGGUUAAAACUCAAAUGAAUUGACGGGGGCCCGCACAAGCGGUGGAGCAUGUGGUUUAAUUCGAUGCAACGCGAAGAACCUUACCUGGUCUUGACAUCCACAGAACUUCCAGAGAUGGAUUGGUGCCUUCGGGACUGUGAGACAGUGCUGCAUGGCUGUCGUCAGCUCGUGUGUGAAAUGUUGGGUAGUCCCGCACGAGCGCACCCUUAUCCUUUGUGCCAGCGUUCAGCCGGGAACCUCAAGGAGACUGCCA